UACGUAGGGUGCAAGCGUUGUCCGGAAUUAUUGGGCGUAAAGAGCUCGUAGGCGGUCUGUCGCGUCGGCUGUGAAAUCCCGAGGCUCAACCUCGGGUCUGCAGUCGAUACGGGCAAACUAGAGUAUUGCAGGGGAGACUGGAAUUCCUGGUGUAGCGGUGAAAUGCGCAGAUAUCAGGAAGAACACCCGUGGCGAAGGCGGGUCUCUGGGACGGUACUGACGCUGAGACGCGAAAGCGUGGGGAGCGAACAGG
rnacentral:rRNA from 1 species